rnacentral:rRNA from 1 species
AGGUUACGUCAAGACUCGCGGCUAUUAACCGUAGGCUUUUCUUCUCUACUGAAAGUGCUUUACAACCCGCAGGCCUUCUUCACACACGCGGCAUUGCUGGAUCAGGCUUGCGCCCAUUAUCCAAUAUUCCCCA